rnacentral:misc_RNA from 1 species
GAUGAAGAACGCAGCGAAAUGCGAUAAGUAAUGUGAAUUGCAGAAUUCAGUGAAUCAUCGAAUCUUUGAACGCACCUUGCGCUCUUUGGUAUUCCGAAGAGCAUGCCUGUUUGAGUGUCAUGAAAAUAUCAACCUUGACUUGGGUUUUGUGCUCUAGUCUCGGCUUGGAAUUGGGUGCUUGCCGCUUUUACGAGCGGCUCACCUUAAAUGGAUUAGCUGGAUCUGUCUUUGAGACUUGGUUUGACUUGGCGUAAUAAGUAUUUCGCUAAGGACAUUCUUCGGAGUGGCCUCGUUUCUAGGACGCUUGUCCGCUUUCCAAUACAAGUUCCACCUCGUGGACAUGACUUUUUAUUAUCUGGCCUCAAAUCAGGUAGGACUACCCGCUGAACUUAAGCAUAUCAAUAAGCGGAGGA